rnacentral:rRNA from 1 species
AUUGAACGCUGGCGGCAUGCCUUACACAUGCAAGUCGAACGGCAGCGGGGGAGAAGCUUGCUUUUCCUGCCGGCGAGUGGCGAACGGGUGAGUAAUACAUCGGAACGUGCCCUGUAGUGGGGGAGAACUCGUCGAAAGAUUAGCUAAUACCGCAUACGAACUGAGGGUGAAAGUGGGGGAGCGCAAGGCCUCACGCUAUAGGAGCGGCCGAUGUCUGAUUGGCGAGCUGGUGGGGUAAAGGCCUACCAAGGCGACGAUCAGUAGCUGGUCUGAGAGGCCGCUCAGCCACACUGGGACUGAGACACGGCCCAUACUCCUACGGGAGGCAGCAGUGGGGAAUUUUGGACAAUGGGCGAAAGCCUGAUCCAGCAAUGCCGCGUGUGUGAAGAAGGCCUUCGGGUUGUAAAGCACUUUUGUCCGGAAAGAAAUGGCUCUGGUUAAUACCUGGGGUCGAUGACGGUACCGGAAGAAUAAGGACCGGCUAACUACGUGCCAGCAGCCGCGGUAA